GUGAGGAAUAUUGCGCAAUGGACGAAAGUCUGACGCAGCCAUGCCGCGUGAAGGAUUGACGGCCCUAUGGGUUGUAAACUUCUUUUGUAUAGGAAUAAACCCUCGUUCGUGAACGAGGCUGAAGGUACUAUAAGAAUAAGCACCGGCUAACUCCGUGCCAGCAGCCGCGGUAAUACGGAGGGUGCAAGCGUUAUCCGGAUUUAUUGGGUUUAAAGGGUCCGUAGGCGGAUCGUUAAGUCAGGGGUGAAAUCCUACCGCUCAACGGUAGAACUGCCAUUGAUACUGGCGAUCUUGAGUAUGUAUGAAGUUGGCGGAAUGUGUGGUGUAGCGGUGAAAUGCUUAGAUAUCACACAGAACACCGAUUGCGAAGGCAGCUGACUAAUACACAACUGACGCUGAGGGACGAAAGUGUGGGGAUCAAACAGGAUUAGAUACCCGUGUAGUCC
rnacentral:rRNA from 1 species